CCUACGGGGGGCAGCAGUGAGGAAUAUUGGUCAAUGGGCGUAAGCCUGAACCAGCCAUGCCGCGUGAGGGAUGACGGUUCUAUGGAUCGUAAACUUCUUUUAUACGGGGGUAAAGUGUGUGACGUGUACUGUUUUGACUGUAACGUACGAAUAAGGAUCGGCUAACUCCGUGCCAGCAGCAGCGGUACUACGGAGGAUCCGAGCGUUAUCCGGAUUUAUUGGGUUUAAAGGGUGCGUAGGCGGCCUUUUAAGUUAGCGGUGAAAUACCGUGGCUCAACCUCUGGAUUGCCGUUGAAACUGGGGGCCUAGAGAAUGUUUGAGGCAGGCGGAAUGCGUGGUGUAGCGGUGAAAUGCUUAGAUAUCACACAGAACCCCGAUUGCGAAGGCAGCUUGCCAAGCCAUAUCUGACGCUGAGGCACGAAAGCGUGGGGAGCAAACAGGAUUAGAUACCCGAGUAGUC
rnacentral:rRNA from 1 species